GUGGGGAAUCUUGCGCAAUGGGCGAAAGCCUGACGCAGCCAUGCCGCGUGAAUGAUGAAGGUCUUAGGAUUGUAAAAUUCUUUCACCGGGGACGAUAAUGACGGUACCCGGAGAAGAAGCUCCGGCUAACUUCGUGCCAGCAGCCGAGGUAAUACGAAGGGGGCUAGCGUUGCUCGGAAUUACUGGGCGUAAAGGGCGCGUAGGCGGACAGCUUAGUCAGAGGUGAAAGCCCAGGGCUCAACCUUGGAAUUGCCUUUGAUACUGGCUGUCUUGAGUUUGGGAGAGGUGAGUGGAACUCCGAGUGUAGAGGUGAAAUUCGUAGAUAUUCGGAAGAACACCAGUGGCGAAGGCGACUCACUGGCCCAAUACUGACGCUGAGGCGCGAAAGCGUGGGGAGCAAACAGGAUUAGAAACCCUUGUAGUCC
rnacentral:rRNA from 1 species